GAGAGGAGAGAAAAAUAUGCAUGAUAUAAAUCAAAAGGUUAGAAGUCCAACUGAAUGCUGAGUGAGGCAUUAGGUGUGUUUAUAUAGAGGGAGAAAAAUGAUGAGAUGGAUCGGUUUAAUUACUCAUGAAAGAUGCCUUGUUUCAAUAAUUAAUUUAACCAAUGCAUCUCAUCAUUUUAUCCCACUAUGGGUACACACCCUAUGCCCUACUCACUAUAUGCAAACUUCCAACCUUUUGAUUUAUACAGAUUUUACCCCUCUCACUAUAUAAACACACCCUAUUCCUUACUCAAUACACACUUAAACUUCCAACCUUUUGAUAUAAAGUCUAUUGUCUGUAUGUGUACAUAUUUAUGUAGACACCAUAGAGAGCCAAAAGUUCAAACAUUUCCUGUGUUUCAUGUUAGGGCACUAAUUACGAGGUCACUGAGAUUCUCAAGGUUAAUGGAGAUGGCUGUAGAGACUUAAUUUACUAUAUAACCCUUACCGUCAAGAACGACGUAGAGGAAUAUUUUCAAGUUAAGGUGGUGGAACAUCUAUAUAAAUCUUUGAAGUUCCCAGUGUCAGGCCAAGG
rnacentral:lncRNA from 1 species